rnacentral:lncRNA from 1 species
UUUCAAUUGAGUACCAUCAUCAACACCCCCCCCCCCUCAAGUUGGAGGGGGAAGAAUGAACCCCCAACUUGCUCAGAAACUCACGGUGAGAAGGCCCAGAAAGGGGUUUGGUGAAGAUAUCGGCCUGUUGGGAACGAGUUGGAAGAAAACAAAGAGAAAUCAGACCAGAUUGAAACUAUAGACGAAAGAAAUGGCUAUCAAGAUCGACAUGUUUCGUUCUCUCGUGAAAAACGGGUUUUUAGCGAUAUGGAUUGCAACUUGGCUAUCAGAAUGAAGGGGAAUCGGUAACGAGGGAGGCACAGAAAGAUCUGUAAGAAGACGGUGAAGCCAGGUUAAUUCUGCCAUAACACGGCGCAUGGAGCGGUACUCCGCCUCUGCAGAAGACAAGGAAAUAGAAGGUUGUUUCUUGGAUUUCCAAGAAAUGGGACAACCACCCAAACUGAUGAAGAAACCACUAAUUGAACGACGAGAAUCAGGGUAAGAACCCCAGUCGAAGUCGCAAAAAGCGAGAAGAUCAAAAGAAGGGGAAGAGACAUGAGGAGACCAAGACCAGGAUCUUUUAGGAGGUAGCGGAGACAAUGCAUGGCAGCAUCCAUGUGAGGAGUACGAGGGUCUUGCAGAAAUUGAGAGAGAUGUUGGAAAGCAAAAGAAAGAUCUGGUCUAGUAUAAGUGAGGAAGUUGAGCUUACCAAGAAGACGACGAUAAAGGAAAGUGUCAGGAAUAGGAGAAUCAACCCCAAUUAAGAGCUUGACAGAGGUAUCCAAAAGGGAAGAGACUGGAGAGAGAUCUAAACAAGAAAACUCAGUGAGCAGUUCAAGAGUAAACUUACAUUGGUGAACAAGCAGACUAGAAGGCUCCUCAGAAUCUCCAUGCCUAAAAAGAAAGAUAAGUGCCCUAAAUCCUUAAUUUUAAAUUCUUCAUCAUGGAACUGUCUCAACUCUGUCAAUUCUAGCUCAUUAUUCCCAGUAAGUAGUAUAUCAUCAACGUACACAACCACUAGGGAGAUAGAGGACCCAUUUUUCUUAUAGAAUAGAGAGUAGUCAUUGAGAGAGUGAGAAAAACCUUUAAAAUUGAGAGCAUCAUUGAGUUUAGUAUACCAUUGGCGCGAGGCCUGUCGUAGCCCAUAAAGAGACUUCUUAAGUCGACAAACAAGAUUAGGAGAAGGGGAAGGAAAACCAGCAGGAAAUUUCAUAUAGACUUCUUCGUGUAGAUACCCGUGUAGAAAAGCAUUAUUAACAUCAAGUUGAUAAAGACCCCAGCCCUUUUUAACAGCAAUAGCAAAAAUGCAACGAAUAGUAGUCAUCUUAACAACUGGAGAAAAUGUUUCAGUGAAGUCAAUACCCUCACGUUGAGUGUCACCUCUAAUAACCAAAUGUGCCUUAAGUCUUUCAACACUGUCAUCAGAUUAAGUUUCACUUUGUAAACCCAUUUGCAAGAAAUAGCCUUUUUCCCAAGUGCUAGAGGGACUACUGUCCAAGUCUCAUUGGCCAAUAAAGCAUCCAAUUCCUUAGCCAUGGCCUCCUUCCAUCCAGGAUGAGUAACAGCUUGAGAAAAGGAAGUGGGUUCAUGAAUAUGAGAGAUAGAAUUAACAAGCUGACGACUGGGUGAAGAUAGAGUGGAAAAUGAUAAAACAUUAGGUGAAAUAAAAGAAAGAAAACAAGGGGUGGAAACAUCAGUAAGAUAAACUACAUUGCAUAUGAAAUCAUAAAGGUAGGCAGGUGUUUGUGGUCCCUUAAUGACCUGCGCAAAGGAGCCUCACGAGGAACAGUAGAAGGUGUGGAAUGAGAAGGGAAUAUAGGAAUAGAAAUAUCAGUGGGUGUAGAACUAGAAGGGGAAGAACUAGAUGGUGUAAAAAAUGUAUGAGAAGAGUAAGGAAUAAUAGAAGAAGAAGGGUCAAGAGAGGAGAAGGAUGGACUCAAAUAUGAAUCAUUGGAAAGAGAAGAAGUAGAAGGAUAGUUAGAGUCAGUAGAGAUAAAAACAUGGUUAGUUUUCAAGUUUAGGAGUUUAUUGCCUUUUUUUCCAAAAGGGUAGCCAAGAAAUACACAAGCAACAGCCCUAGGAUCAAGUUUCCCUCUUUGAUGGGAUAAAGUAGAAGCAAAGCAAAGGGAACCAAAGCACUUAAGCAUAGAAUAAUCAGGGGAUUUUCCAAAAAGAACUUCAUAAAGUGUCUUGUAAUGAAGUAAUUUGGUAGGAUGUCUGUUUAUAAGAAAGGUGGCAGUUAAGAGGCAUUCUCCCUAGUAAAUGAUAGGAACUUUGGAGUGAAAUAGCAAAGCUCUACAGGUUUCAAGUAAGUGUUUGUGUUUCCUUUCAACUAUACCAUUUUGUUGAGGGGUUGCCACAUAACUAGUUUGGUGAAGGAUUCCUUUAGACUGGAAAUAGGCAGCAACAGUAGAACCACUCCCUAAUUCUAGGGCAUUAUCAGAUCUGAUGACUUUAAUUUUGGUAUCAAAUUUUCUUUCAACCAUGGCAAUAAAGGAUUUGAGAAUGGUGAAAGCAUUGCCUUUGUUUCUCAAAAGAUAGGUCCAAGUUCCCCUACUAAAAUCAUCCACUAUGGUUAAAAAAUAUUUAAAACCAUCAUAAGUAGUUGUUUUAUAUGGUCCCCAAGUGUCAAUAUAUAUAAGUUCAAAUAUGUGUGAUGUGGAAGAGGUGAUUUUAGGAAAUGGUAGUUGGUGUUGUCUUGCUAGAGGACAAAUAGAGCAAGGAUAGGGAUCAGAAACAAAAGCAUUCUUUGGUAAAGCAGAAAUGUGUUUCAUACUUAAAAUGGGCAUAUGCCCAAGUCUAACAUAUCAUUAAGUUCCAUGAGAAUGUUCAGAAUUAGAAACAAAGUACAAACAUCCUUAUGACAGUUAUUAACAGGGGAUAAAAUAGUUUGGUUUGUCUGCAGGUGAGUUCCAGGCAUGGGAUGAAAGGUCUGCAGUAGAUAGAGUCCAUCCUUCACUCUACCAGGAUCCAGAGGCCUCCUCAAGGAAGGGCCCUAUAAGAAACAAGAUGAAGCAGAGAAGGUAAGUAAAUUGUUAAAUUGUGAGUAUAGUUUGUGUACUGAUAAGAUAUUAAAUUUGAAACUAGGAACUAGGAGAACUCUAUUGAGAGUGAGGUCAGGAUUGAUAGAAUAUUGUCCAGCAUGUGUGACUUUAAUCCUAAAAGAAUUAGGCAGAUUGACAAAGACAGGCUGCGAUAAUGGUUUGAUGUUAAAGGGGAUGGAUUCAUCAAAAGUUAUAUGCUCUGAGGCACCAGAAUCUAGUAUCCAAAAUGACAAAUAGAAUUUUUAGGAGUAGUUAGGAUAGAAAAGGAAGCAAUACCAGCACAGUUAACUGUCACAUUUGCUUCAGAAUUAGAGGCAGUCUGUUGGCCAAUUUUGACUUGUUGUAGUAUCUCCAUCAAUUGAGAAAUUUUCUCUUGUUUUAAACCAAGACACAUCAGUGCUUGUAGGCUGUGUAGAGUCUGGCUGAGUACUAAUGGCAUUGCUAUGUGCUGAAUUAUAAAAAGUUGAUUGUAUAUUCUCCCUUGGUCUGUUAUUCUUAAAUCCUCCCUAUUGAAAAUUUGUAGGAUAUCCAUGAAGCUUGAAGCAUUUUUCUAUAGCAUGUCCUGUCUUCUUGCAGUAUUUGCAGCUUGAAUUAUUUCUCCUGUUGUCCUGAUAUGAAUUUUGCUUUGAAUUAUUGUAAAAUGAUCCUUGUUGGAUAUUGAAUCUCUGAUUACCUUGCCCUGAAUUGGGUGACUGUCUAGCAACAGAAAAUGAUGUAGAUUCUGUAGGUAAAACUCCCAUAGGUUGUAUACUUCUUUGUCUUUCCUCUUGUGGUAAUAUAAAAUAAGCUCGAUCAAUAUCAGGUGGGGAAUUCAUCAUCAUUAUAUUGCCUCUACAUGCAGUAUAUGUCUCAUUAAGACCCAUUAAAAACUGCACUAAUGUCUGCCUUUCUUCAAGUGCACUGUUUUUCUCUAUAGCCCCACAUUUACAAUCAAUACAACUACAUACAACUCUAGAAUCAAGUAGAUCAAUCUCAUCCCAUAUGGCUUUCAUAUUGUUGACAUAUGUUGCAAUAUUUUUUGAUCCUUGUACAGUUUCCGUUAUUUGCUUUUGUAGAUCAAAUAAUUGUGCUAGAUUAGAUUGUCCAUAUCUCUUCUCAAGUUGUUUCCACAUAUCAUGUGCGGACUUAGAGUGAAUUACACUUGAUCUAAUUUCCUUGGUAAGUGAAUUUAAUAACAAGCAAAAACCAUAUCAUUACACCUUGUCCACAGAUUAAAAAAAUUAGAAUUUUCCUUUGGUUUAACUAACGUCCCAUCUAUGAAUCCAAGUUUGUUUUUAGCAGAUAAGGAGACUAAAAUGGAUUUCCUCCAUGAUCCAUAACCAGUCCCAUCGAAAGCAGAAAAUACAAAGGCCAUACCUGGCGAAUCAGAUGCAUAAAGAUAAAUAGGGAUGAAGAUGAUCAAUUUUCGCAAUUAUUGGAGCAGGAGAAUCGACAGAAGCAUUGGAAACAAAAUCUUCAGUCAGAACCAUAAUCGAUUACUGAUAUUCCAGAGAAUUUGUAUACAAAUCGCAAUUGAAUCUAGUGAAAUUGAUGUUGCUCUGAUACCAUGUAAAACUUGGAGAAGAAGAAAAUAAAAUUGAGAGAAA